rnacentral:rRNA from 1 species
GCGGCUGGCGGCAGCUUACCAUGCAAGUCGAGCGGUAACAGGGGUAGCUUGCUACCCGCUGACGAGCGGCGGACGGGUGAGUAAUGCAUAGGAAACUGCCCAGUAGUGGGGGAUAGCCCGGGGAAACCCGGAUUAAUACCGCAUACGUCCUUCGGGAGAAAGCAGGGGAUCUUCGGACCUUGCGCUAUUGGAUGUGCCUAUGUCGGAUUAGCUGGUUGGUGAGGUAAUGGCUCACCAAGGCGACGAUCCGUAGCUGGUCUGAGAGGAUGAUCAGCCACAUCGGGACUGAGACACGGCCCGAACUCCUACGGGAGGCAGCAGUGGGGAAUAUUGGACAAUGGGGGCAACCCUGAUCCAGCCAUGCCGCGUGUGUGAAGAAGGCUUUCGGGUUGUAAAGCACUUUCAGUGAGGAGGAAAAGUUAGUCCUUAAUACGGGCUAGCCUUGACGUUACUCACAGAAGAAGCACCGGCUAACUCCGUGCCAGCAGCCGCGGUAAUACGGAGGGUGCAAGCGUUAAUCGGAAUUACUGGGCGUAAAGCGCGCGUAGGUGGUUUGAUAAGCGAGAUGUGAAAGCCCCGGGCUUAACCUGGGAACGGCAUUUCGAACUGUCAGGCUAGAGUGUGGUAGAGGGUAGUGGAAUUUCCUGUGUAGCGGUGAAAUGCGUAGAUAUAGGAAGGAACACCAGUGGCGAAGGCGGCUACCUGGACCAACACUGACACUGAGGUGCGAAAGCGUGGGGAGCAAACAGGAUUAGAUACCCU